rnacentral:rRNA from 1 species
GCCUGUUUAUCAAAAACAUCGCUCCCUGUUGUAGAAAAAUAGGGAGUCGGACCUGCCCAGUGAAUAUUUUUAACGGCCGCGGUACUCUGACCGUGCAAAGGUAGCAUAAUCAUUUGCCUUAUAAUUGAAGGCUAGUAUGAAUGGUUUGACGAGAAUAUAGCUGUCUCUUUCUAAUUAUCUAGAAAUUCAUUUUCAGGUGCAGAAGCCUGGAUUUAAUUAAAAGACAAGAAGACCCUAUCGAGCUUGAAAUAAAUUAAUGGAAUUAAAAAAUAGAUUUAUAAAAUUACUUGCCAUUAAACAUUUUGGUUGGGGCGACUGAGGAACAAAUAAAGCUUCCUUGAAUUAAUAUAAAAUUUACUAAUAUUGAUCCAAAAUUUUUGAUUAAUGGAAUUAGUUACCGUAGGGAUAACAGCAUUAUCUUUUUUGAGAGCUCUAAUCGAAAAAAAGGUUUGUGACCUCGAUGUUGGACCAGAAUAUCCAGAAGGUGUAGCAGCCUUCAAGGGUUGGUCUGUUCGACCAUUAAAAUUCUACGUGAUCUGAGUUCA